AGCCUUACGCUGGGAUUUUUAGCAUACCGAUGACCACUUAGGGAGGUAGCUGUUAUUGCUUGAUUGCAAACUUUAAUCCAAACGAAAUUUUGUUCGCAAGAAUGACUUUUCAAUUUUUGUUAAUUUACCAACAAG
rnacentral:snRNA from 1 species